UGGGGAAUAUUGGACAAUGGAGGAAACUCUGAUCCAGCAAUUCUGUGUGUGUGAAGAAGGUUUUAGGACUGUAAAACACUUUUAGUAGGGAAGAAAAAAAUGACGGUACCUACAGAAGAAGCAACGGCUAAAUACGUGCCAGCAGCCGCGGUAAUACGUAUGUUGCGAGCGUUGUCCGGAAUUAUUGGGCUUAAAGGGCAUCUAGGCGGUAAGACAAGUUGAAGGUGAAAACCUGUGGCUCAACCAUAGGCUUGCCUACAAAACUGUUGAACUAGAGUACUGGAAAGGUGGGUGGAACUACACGAGUAGAGGUGAAAUUCGUAGAUAUGUGUAGGAAUGCCGAUGAUGAAGAUAACUCACUGGACAGAAACUGACGCUGAAGUGCGAAAGCUAGGGGAGCAAACAGG
rnacentral:rRNA from 1 species